rnacentral:rRNA from 1 species
UGAACGCUGGCGGCAUGCCUAACACAUGCAAGUCGAACGGAAACGACGAAAACAAUCCCUUCGGGGUGCGUCUUCGGGCGUCGAGUGGCGGACGGGUGCGUAACGCGUAGGAAUCUACCUUAUAGUGGGGGACAACUCGAGGAAACUCGAGCUAAUACCGCAUAAUCCUUACGAGGGAAAGCAGGGGAUCUUCGGACCUUGUGCUAUUAGAUGAGCCUGCGUCGGAUUAGCUUGUUGGUAGGGUAAUGGCCUACCAAGGCAACGAUCCGUAGCUGGUCUGAGAGGACGACCAGCCACACUGGGACUGAGACACGGCCCAGACUCCUACGGGAGGCAGCAGUGGGGAAUAUUGGACAAUGGGCGCAAGCCUGAUCCAGCAAUGCCGCGUGUGUGAAGAAGGCCUUAGGGUUGUAAAGCACUUUCAGUAGGGAAGAAAUGCGUGUAGCUAAUAACUGCGCGUCUUGACGGUACCUACAGAAGAAGCACCGGCUAACUCC